rnacentral:tRNA from 1 species
AUAUUAGUUCAGUUGGUAGAACGAUAGACUGUUAAUCUAUGUGUCGUAGGUUCGAAUCCUGCAUAUC